GGAAUACUGCAGAGCUAGGGAGUGGGAGAGGUAGACGGUACUCGGGAGGAAGUGGUAAAAUGCUUUGAUCUCUCGAUGACCACCUGUGGCGAAGGCGGUCUACCAGAACACGUCCGACGGUGAGGGAUGAAAGCUGGGGGAGCAAACCGGAUUAGAUACCCGGGUAGUCCCAGCUGUAAACUAUGCAAACUCAGUGAUGCAUUGGCUUGUGGCCACUGCAGUGUUGCAGGGAAGCCGUUAAGUUUGCCGCCUGGGAAGUACGUACGCAAGUAUGAAACUUAAAGGAAUUGGCGGGGGAGCACCACAAGGGGUGAAGCCUGCGGUUCAAUUGGAGUCAACGCCAGAAAUCUUACCCGGAGAGACAGCAGAAUGAAGGUCAAGCUGAAGACUUUACCAGACAAGCUGAGAGGUGGUGCAUGGCCGUCGCCAGCCCGUGCCGUGAGAUGUCCUGUUAAGUCAGGUAACGAGCGAGAUCCCUGCCUCUAGUUGCCACCAUUACUCUCAGGAGUAGUGGGGCGAAUUAGCGGGACCGCCGCAGUUAAUGCGGAGGAAGGAAGGGGCCACGGCAGGUCAGUAUGCCCCGAAACUCUGGGGCCACACGCGGGCUGCAAUGGUAAUGACAACGGGUCCCGAAUCUGAAAGGAAGAGGUAAUCCUCAAACAUUACCACAGUUAUGACUGAGGGCUGCAACUCGCCCUCACGAAUAUGGAAUCCCUAGUAACUGCGUGUCAUUAUCGCGCGGUGAAUACGUCCCUGCUCCUUGCACACACCGCCCGU
rnacentral:rRNA from 1 species